rnacentral:rRNA from 1 species
UCCAGACUCCUACGGGAGGCAGCAGUGGGGAAUAUUGCACAAUGGGGGAAACCCUGAUGCAGCGACGCCGCGUGAGCGAUGAAGUAUUUCGGUAUGUAAAGCCCUAUCAGCAGGGAAGAAGAAAUGACGGUACCUGAGUAAGAAGCACCGGCUAAAUACGUGCCAGCAGCCGCGGUAAUACGUAUGGUGCAAGCGUUAUCCGGAUUUACUGGGUGUAAAGGGAGCGUAGACGGCAUGGCAAGUCAGAUGUGAAAGCCCGGGGCUCAACCCCGGGACUGCAUUGGGAACUACCGGGCUGGAGUGCCGGAGAGGUAGGCGGAAUUCCUAGUGUAGCGGUGAAAUGCGUAGAUAUUAGGAGGAACACCAGUGGCGAAGGCGGCCUACUGGACGGUGACUGACGCUGAGGCUCGAAAGCGUGGGGAGCAAACAGGAUUAGAUACCCUCGUAC